GUUAGGAAUAUUGGACAAUGGGCGAAAGCCUGAUCCAGCCAUGCCGCGUGAACGAUGAAGGCCUUCGGGUUGUAAAGUUCUUUAGCCGAUGAUUAUAAUGACUGUAGUCGGAAAAUAAGCCCCGGCUAACUUCGUGCCAGCAGCCGCGGUAAUACGAAGGGGGCGAGCGUUAUUCGGAAUCACUGGGCGUAAAGCGUGCGUAGGCGGUUUUGUAAGUUAGGAGUGAAAGCCCAGGGCUCAACCUUGGAAUUGCUCUUAAAACUGCAAGGCUCGAAUCUCGGAGAGGAUAGCGGAAUUUCCAGUGUAGCAGUGAAAUGCGUAGAUAUUGACAGGAACACCAGUGGCGCAAGCGGCUAUCUGGACCGAUAUUGACGCUGAGGCACGAAAGCGUGGGGAGCAAACAGGAUUAGAAACCCGGGUAGUCC
rnacentral:rRNA from 1 species